UUAAACUGAAGAGUUUGAUCCUGGCUCAGAUUGAACGCUGGCGGCAUGCCUUACACAUGCAAGUCGAACGGCAGCACGGAGCUUGCUCUGGUGGCGAGUGGCGAACGGGUGAGUAAUAUAUCGGAACGUACCCUGGAGUGGGGGAUAACGUAGCGAAAGUUACGCUAAUACCGCAUACGAUCUAAGGAUGAAAGUGGGGGAUCGCAAGACCUCAUGCUCGUGGAGCG
rnacentral:rRNA from 1 species